GGCCCCGUAGCUCAGUUGGAUAGAGCAACGGACUUCUAAUCCGUGGGUCGCACGUUCGAAUCGUGCCGGGGUCG
rnacentral:tRNA from 1 species